rnacentral:rRNA from 1 species
UAGUCAUACGCUUGUCUCAAAGAUUAAGCCAUGCAAAGCGCGCUGAAGCACGUACUACCGCGAAGCGCUGGACGGCUCAUUACAUCAGCUAUAGUCUACGUGAUAGCUUCCCCCCUUCUACACGGACAACCUUAGAAACCUAGAGCUAACACGCGCGACACACCCCCGCCGGGCGGCGACGCCUGCGCGGGGCGCACUUGUUAGAUCCCAAAGCCGAACCGCCGGAUUCACGUCCGGCGCCCGGUUGAGUCAUGACAAUUGAGCGGACCGCACGGCCGGCGACGGCGCGGCGGUGGUUCACACGAGUUUCUGCCCUAUCAGCUAGAUGGACAGGUAUUGGCUGCCCAUGGCGGUGACGGGUAACGAAGGGUUAGGGCUCGACUUCGGAGAGGACGCCUCAGACACCGCGACCAUAUCCAAGGAACGCAGCAGGCGCGAAACGUCUCCCAUCCCGCGUCGGGGAGAGCGUGACAAGAAAUGCCGAUGCGGCGCCGUCAAGGUGCCGCAGUCCGGAAUGAGGGCGACCCAAACCCACGCCCGAAAACCAGU